AAUCAUUAUUGUUUGUGAUGACUCAAUUGUGUGCAAAUCCGUGGUGCUUUUUUCAUUUUCGAACUUCCAUUCCAUUAUUUGACUUUUUAUCCGACCCCAUCCUCUCUCCGAUUCCUGUCCUUGAGCUUGAUAUCCAUAUCUGAUCGACUUGAUCAAUGCACGCUCCGGCCAUCAUUCCAUAGACGGGGCAUCGUACGAGUACAGUACAUUUCCAUGCGGAUUAGUUAGAAAAAGGUGGGACAUCCUUUUUUUUGGAGCUUCAAAAUUGCCAUGAUUCUUCGGCAAGGGGUAACCAGCUAAGCCAUGAAAGCGAUUUUCGCUUUACGGAGGAAUAAGUUAAUGAAGAAAGAAGUGGGAUAUUAUCACCAAUGGUUUUCUUAUAAAAUACACGUUGCUGCAUCCUGAACCCAGUUGGGCAAGCCUGAUAACCCGUCCAUUGCUUCAAUCCAUGUUUCUUCCCACUCUCCUUUCAAUUUCCCUGCUAUUGAAGAUAGACAAGAGAGCUCGGGGUUUUCAUGUGAGAUCAUCUGAGUCUUCGGAACACGUGCAAUGACAUUAUUCUGUUGGAUCUUACUCUGGAGAAUCAAGCAGGAAGUUAGAGAGAGGUGUUGAUAUAUAAAAUACUUGGACUUGGCGCAGGAAUGGUGAAAGAAAUUAUGAGGAGCAGGAACCAGCCUCAUUAUUUCUUUCUUUCUUGUUUUCCCUCACCACAUGGGCGG
rnacentral:sRNA from 1 species